UGACGAUACUGUAGGAGAGGUCCUGCGGCAAAAUAGCUCGACGCCAGGAU
rnacentral:rRNA from 1 species